AAAUAGGGUCAAAACAGACUUUUGUGUUUACGAAGUGUGUGUCUGUGCUAAAGUUCUAUCAAUGUUAUUUUAUACACGUCUGGUUAUUUGGAAGCUAGAUGAAUAUAGUUAAUCACUUUUAUAGCCUUCCUUUUUCACUAAGUCUUUGCUUUGUUGCUGUUUCUGACGUGGAAAAUCUGAUGCUUCUUUUUCUAGUUCCUCUUUAACCCUUUAAUAGAAUGUGAUAGAAUCUACAGGAGAUGGAACAGCAUUUGGUUAAUCUGUUCCUCCUUCAGCAUAAGCUGAAAUUCAGCUGCAGUCAGUUCCUGGAGAAGGAACCCUUAUCAAGCUGUAGAUGUCCCUGCUCAUUGCAGGGGAGUUGGACCAGAUAACCUUCAAGGGUCCCUUACAGCUCAAAUGAUUCUGUGAUCCUAAAUGAAACAGAAAGCUCCCCAUUAAUGUUAUUUGUCAGAAGUCCUUAGUAUCAUAUUUGCUUUUUAGCCUUACUCAUCAAAAUCCAGAGGGGAAAAAGGCCCACAGUCUUCUGAUUAAAUGAGGUUUGACAGGACUUUCCUCGAGAACAAUGGCUUUAAAACCAGUUAAAAAAAAUGCCUCUAAAAAUAAAUGAAAUUGAUCUGUCGCCUUUGAAAAAAAAUCAAUGUUUAGAUGAAAGAAAAGAAUUCUAUUAUUCACCUUCCACCUUCUCAUAAUUAUUUUUGAAGUCUGGGUUUCCCUAAGGAAGCCAUUUUAGUCAGUUCUUUUUAAAUGAGGAGAGUUCCUUCUAUUCUUUCAUUCCAGUGCUUUUUGUGUCUGUUGUGAAAGAGAAUGUAAAUCUAAGUUCCAAGACCAAGAAAAUAGCAUGAAAUUUGCAAUGAAGUAUGUUCUUCCUGCUGCCAUAUAGCUUAUUGGGGUUGCCCUCAUUUACUUGUGUAUUCAAUAACUGUUGAAGCUUCCACUGGCUGAACUAAGUCAUAUAAGACAUAAAGGAACUUUAACUAAUCCCAUCUCUGUAAAGCCUAGUAAACUCAAAAUAGUAAUGUACAUCACUACAAGUACAAAGUACCCUCAAUGGGCUCACUUCUUUUCCUUUUCUAAUGACACUUUAGGGUAUGUUUCCACACCUGAACAUCAGAUAGGAUGCUCACC
rnacentral:lncRNA from 1 species